rnacentral:rRNA from 1 species
AUACGGAGGAUCCGAGCGUUAUCCGGAUUUAUUGGGUUUAAAGGGUGCGCAGGCGGCCAUUUAAGUCAGCGGUUAAAUCGUGGGGCUCAACCCCAUUCUGCCGUUGAUACUGGGUGGCUUGAUUGCGGUCGAGGUUGGCGGAAUUCGUUGUGUAGCGGUGAAAUGCAUAGAUAUGACGAAGAACCCCGAUUGCGUAGGCAGCUGACCAGAUCGCAAAUGACGCUCAUGCACGAAAGUGCGGGGAUCGAACAGGAUUAGAUACCCUGGUAGUCCGCACAGUAAACGAUGAAUACUUGUUUUCGGCGAUAUAAUGUCGGAGGCAAAGCGAAAGCGAUAAGUAUUCCACCUGGGGAGUACGCCGGCAACGGUGAAACUCAAAUGAAUUGACGGG